UACGUAGGGUGCAAGCGUUGUCCGGAAUUAUUGGGCGUAAAGAGCUCGUAGGCGGUCUGUCGCGUCGGCUGUGAAAACUCGGGGCUCAACUCCGAGCUUGCAGUCGAUACGGGCAGGCUAGAGUUCGGCAGGGGAGACUGGAAUUCCUGGUGUAGCGGUGAAAUGCGCAGAUAUCAGGAGGAACACCGGUGGCGAAGGCGGGUCUCUGGGCCGAAAUUGACGCUGAGGAGCGAAAGCGUGGGGAGCAAACAGG
rnacentral:rRNA from 1 species